rnacentral:rRNA from 1 species
GAUCCUGGCUCAGGAUGAACGCUAGCUACAGGCUUAACACAUGCAAGUCGAGGGGCAGCAUGGUCUUAGCUUGCUAAGGCCGAUGGCGACCGGCGCACGGGUGAGUAACGCGUAUCCAACCUGCCCAUCACUUGGGAAUAACCUUGCGAAAGUAAGACUGAUGCCCAAUGAUAUCCCACGAAGGCAUCCGAAUGGGAUUAAAGAUUUAUCGGUGAUGGAUGGGGAUGCGU